rnacentral:rRNA from 1 species
AACGAACGCUGGCGGCAUGCCUAACACAUGCAAGUCGAACGAAGGCUUCGGCCUUAGUGGCGCACGGGUGCGUAACGCGUGGGAAUCUGCCCUUAGGUUCGGAAUAACAGUUAGAAAUGACUGCUAAUACCGGAUGAUGACGUAAGUCCAAAGAUUUAUCGCCUGAGGAUGAGCCCGCGUAGGAUUAGCUAGUUGGUGUGGUAAAGGCGCACCAAGGCGACGAUCCUUAGCUGGUCUGAGAGGAUGAUCAGCCACGCUGGGACUGAGACACGGCCCAGACUCCUACGGGAGGCAGCAGUGGGGAAUAUUGGACAAUGGGCGCAAGCCUGAUCCAGCAAUGCCGCGUGAGUGAUGAAGGCCUUAGGGUUGUAAAGCUCUUUUACCCGUGAUGAUAAUGGCAGUAGCGGGAGAAUAAGCCCCGGCUAACUCCGUG